rnacentral:tRNA from 1 species
GCGCCCGUAGCUCAGCUGGAUAGAGCACCGGACUUCGAAUCCGGUGGUCGGGGGUUCGAGCCCCUCCGGGCGCGCCA